rnacentral:rRNA from 1 species
GACGAACGCUGGCGGCGUGCUUAACACAUGCGAGUCGAACGGAAAGGCCUGCUUUCCCUCGUGGAUUGCGGGUACUCGAGUGGCGAACGGGUGAGUAACACGUGAGUGAUCUGCCCCCAACUUGGGUAUAAGCCUGGGAAACUGGGUCUAAUUCCCGAUAGGACUGCAGGGUGGUGCCUGUGGUGGAAAACGAUUUUCUAGUGGUUGGGGAUGAGCUCGCGGCCUAUCAGCUUGUUGGUGGGGUAAUGGCCUACCAAGGCGGCGACGGGUAGCCGGCCUGAGAGGGUGGACGGCCACAUUGGGACUGAGAUACGGCCCAGACUCCUACGGGAGGCAGCAGUGGGGAAUAUUGCACAAUGGGCGGAAGCCUGAUGCAGCGACGCCGCGUGGGGGAUGACGGCCUUCGGGUUGUAAACUCCUUUCGACCGCGAGGAAGCCACCUGGUUGGAAGGGUGGUGACGGUAGUGGUAGAAGAAGCACCGGCUAACUACGUG